rnacentral:rRNA from 1 species
CCUACGGGGGGCUGCAGUGGGGAAUAUUGCACAAUGGGCGCAAGCCUGAUGCAGCCAUGCCGCGUGUGUGAAGAAGGCCUUCGGGUUGUAAAGCACUUUCAGCGGGGAGGAAGGCGGUGAGGUUAAUAACCUCAUCGAUUGACGUUACCCGCAGAAGAAGCACCGGCUAACUCCGUGCCAGCAGCCGCGGUAAUACGGAGGGUGCAAGCGUUAAUCGGAAUUACUGGGCGUAAAGCGCACGCAGGCGGUCUGUCAAGUCGGAUGUGAAAUCCCCGGGGUCAACCUGGGAACUGCAUUCGAAACUGGCAGGCUAGAGUCUUGUAGAGGGGGGUAGAAUUCCAGGUGUAGCGGUGAAAUGCGUAGAGAUCUGGAGGAAUACCGGUGGCGAAGGCGGCCCCCUGGACAAAGACUGACGCUCAGGUGCGAAAGCGUGGGGAGCAAACAGGAUAGAUACCCCAGUAGUC